UUUGGUUUUCCACAGGUUUCUUGCAUGGGUAAAUCUUUUAGACAAGAUGUGUCCCUUUUGGUUGAAGAAGCCAUGGGUAUUUCUAAUUAUUUCAAUUAUUUUUCCCCUUGUUUCGACUUGUUACCUUCGGUUUGCCAGUGGGCAGCUGGAUCAAGAUAAAACAGUUGCUUAAAUUGGCUUUGUGUUUACUUUAGUUAGAACAUGAUACUAUUGUAAGAGUUUUGCAUCUUCCACUGUGUAACAUUUAGACUCCUAUCAAGCAGAUUCAUUUUUUUUUGCAAUUUCUAAUCCCAGCUCUCUCAGCCCAUGCUAGAGAAUCCUGUGUGAAGUAGCAGCUGUAAAACCUUAAUCUAGGACUUUGUAAGAGCUUUGUGUUCAGCAGUUUGAACUCGUAUCAGCCAUGUUCCUCAGUCCAACAGUUUGCUCAGAUUGUAACACUACAAACUUUUUCUCUGCUUUGUUUUGCUGCAGGCUAAGAGCCCGUCAGACACCAUGUUCAGAUGACUCACCAGUAACUUGAUUGCAAUGUAUGAAGCCUCCGGUAGUGUCUGGCUGGUAAAUAUAUUCCAGGAUUUCUGCUACAGGAAAAACUUGCACAAAGUAAAGACUCCCUGGAAAAAGUUAAAUGCUUUCUGUGGUUUGCAAACAGAACUAUGAAAGUGCUAUCCAGCAGGAUUAAAGCUCUUUUUAGCGUUAUACAUGA